rnacentral:rRNA from 1 species
UACAGAGGUGGCAAGCGUUGUUCGGAAUUACUGGGCGUAAAGGGCUCGUAGGCGGCCUUCUAAGUCAGACGUGAAAUCCCCAGGCUUAACUUGGGAACUGCGUCUGAUACUGGGAGGCUUGAGUGCGGGAGAGGGAUGUGGAAUUCCAGGUGUAGCGGUGAAAUGCGUAGAUAUCUGGAGGAACACCGGUGGCGAAGGCGGCAUCCUGGACCGACACUGACGCUGAGGCGCGAAAGCUAGGGGAGCAAACGGG